UGAAACUUUCUUUAAAUUUUUAUCCAAAGCCCCAAUAACACACCCCAAACCCUGACGUGUUCUUCAACCUUAAUAUAAAAUCCUUGGCUCAAGAUAACCAAACCCAAGCUUCACCCACCUAGGUUACCCGAACUCAAAAGCCACCAUCACCUUCACCAACAAACUUUUCCGACCACCGCUGGCCACUUACAGAACCACAUUUUACACCAGCCACCGUGGAUUCCGCCACCGUCAGCUUUCACUUUCUAGGCCAACCCCUCUAUUUGAUCCGAAAUAAAACAAAAAAAUCAAAGGGAAAAGCUCACCUUCUAAAAAGCUCUCCGAACAACGUUGGCAAAUGGUGGUGGAUGACAAUGAAGUGGAGGAAAAACGAUGAUGAAAAGGCAAUCGGUCGAGCGACGACCAGAGAAAAAGAUCGGACUAGAGCGUGUUCCACGCGCGUCGGUGAUGCGCUGGCGAGGGGAGACCAACGAUCACCUUUGAUGGGAUGAUCCUCGGCCGUUAGAUCUCAUCUUAAUCUAACGAAUAUGAUGCAUUUGUGUUAAAUGGAUCGAUGACAUAGCAUGCUCCAAAGUCAUUGGAUCAAAUUUUUAGUCAAAGGCUUGAGUUGGUUUUCUUCACAUGAAUGGAUGAGAAAUGUCGAUCAUCAAUCUUUUCCAUCUUCAAAGUGGAAAACAAUGAUAUGUGUUUUAAAAAGUGCGCCUGAGGCGCUAGGCGAGGCGAGACAUUUAGAAGAAAGCUUUCGACCACUAAGGCGACGACGAGUACAUGAGGCGACGAUUUAGUCGUCGGAGGCGGCGAGAGGCGACGCUUUUAGCGAUUCACGUACAAUGACCCAUUUCAGAUUGGGCUUUGCGGAGGUACUGAUUGAAUGGCUAACCUUUUAAGAGAAUUGAAGGGACGCACUGGUUUGAGGAACCACCAAAUGAACUUCAGGUGUUGCUGCAAACUGAUACCCAUGAGAUUGAAUUUCUAAGAUGAUAAACAAAAUGUAGUCGUUUUGUCCUUUGUACCAAAUAAAAAAUA